rnacentral:rRNA from 1 species
UAAGAAAUUAAGAGCUUGUAAGGGAUCCCUUGGUAUCCAGAAGCGAUGAAGGACGUGGCUACCAGCGAAAUGCUUCGGGGAGUUGGAAGUAAGCUUUGAUCCGGAGGUCUCCGAAUGAGGAAACUCUACAUCUUUUUACUGAAUUUAUAAGUAAAAAAGAGCAAACUCAGGGAAUUGAAACAUCUUAGUACCUGAAGGAAAAGAAAGUAAAAACGAUUCCCUUAGUAGUGGCGAACGAAACGGGAACAGCCUAAACCAUCAUAAUCUUUUAGAUAUGACGGGGUUGUGGGGUAAACAUAAGAAAGUUAAUAAAACUUUUCAAAAAAAUUAGGUGAAUUAGUUGGAAAACUAUACCGUAGAAAGUGAUAGUCUUGUAACCGAAAAUUUUUUCAUUUUAUUUAUACCCGAGUAGCAUGGGGCACGUGGAAUCCCGUGUGAAUCUGCGAGGACCACCUCGUAAGGCUAAAUAUUCCUGGAUGUCCGAUAGUGAAAUAGUACCGCGAGGGAAAGGUGAAAAGAACCCCGGGAGGGGAGUGAAAUAGAACGUGAAAUUGCAAGCUUACAAACAGAAGGAGAACGACUUAGCGUUUGACUUCGUGCCUGUUGAAGAAUGUUCCGGCGACUUACAGUUAGUGGCAGGUUAAGAUAGAGAUAUCGGAGCCAGAGUGAAAGCGAGCUUGAAUAGAGCGUUCGUCACUAGUUGUAGACCCGAACCCGCUUGAUCUAACCAUGGCCAGGAUGAAACUUAGGUAAUACUAAGUGGAGGUCCGAACCGACUAAUGUUGAAAAAUUAGCGGAUGAGUUGUGGUUAGGGGUGAAAUGCCAAUCGAAAGCGGAGCUAGCUGGUUCUCCCCGAAAUGUAUUUAGGUGCAGCGGUUGAUGUUUUAGCGUAGGGGUAAAGCACUGUUUCGGUGCGGGCUGGUAAUUCGGUACCAAAUCGAGGCAAACUCUGAAUACUACGUGUAUAGUCAACCAGUAAGACUACGAGGGAUAAGCUUCAUAGUCAAGAGGGAAACAGCCCAGAUCACCAGCUAAGGCCCCCAAGUAAUUACUAAGUGGUAAAGGUAGUGGAAAGGCUUAGACAACCAGGAGGUUUGCUUAGAAGCAGCAAUCCUUUAAAAAGUGCGUAAUAGCUUACUGGUCUAGCAGUUCUGCGCCGAAAAUUUAUGGGACUAAGUAAUUCGCCGAAGCUGUGAGAUAUACAAUUUGUAUAUCGGUAGGGGAGCGUUCCAUGGUAGGCUGAAGUGUUAGCGAAAGCGGAUAUGGACGAAAUGGAAGUGAGAAUGUCGGAUUGAGUAACGAAAACAUUGGUGAGAAUCCAAUGCUCCGAAACCCUAAGGUUUCCUCCGCAAGGUUCGUCCACGGAGGGUUAGUCAGGUCCUAAGGUGAGGCUGAGAAGCGUAAUUGAUGGAAAAUAGGUUAAUAUUCCUAUACUGAUCAUUGUUGGUAUCGAGGGACGAAGGAGGCUAGGUUAGCCGGAUAUUGGUUACCGGUUCAAGUAGACGAGGUGUUGAGAAGUAGAGAAAAUACUUUGAGCUAAGCUAUGAGUACAAGAUUCAAAGAAAUCAAAGUAAUUGACGUCAUACUUCCAAGAAAAGCUCGCAAUGCCUUAAACAAUGAUUACCUGUACCUUAAACCGACACAGGUAGGGAGGUAGAGAAUACCAAGGAGCGCGGGAGAACCCUCCUUAAGGAACUCGGCAAAAUAGCUCUGUAACUUCGGAAGAAAGAGUGCCCAUUGGGCUGCAAUAUCAAGUUCCAAGCAACUGUUUAGCAAAAACACAGGUCUCCGCUAAGUUGUAAAACGACGUAUGGGGGCUGACGCCUGCCCAGUGCCGGAAGGUUAAAGAAGUUGGUUAGCGUAUGCGAAGCUAAUAACUGAAGCCCCGGUGAACGGCGGCCGUAACAAUAACGGUCCUAAGGUAGCGAAAUUCCUUGUCGGGUAAGUUCCGACCUGCACGAAUGGUGCAACGAUCUGGACACUGUCUCGGCCAUGAGCUCGGUGAAAUUGUAGUAUCGGUGAAGAUGCCGGUUACCCGCAGUGGGACGAAAAGACCCCGUGCACCUUUACUAUAGCUUCGUAUUGACCUUGGUCAAGCAAUGUGUAGGAUAGCUGGGAGACUUUGAAGCUGCAUCGCUAGGUGUGGUGGAGUCAUUGUUGAAAUACCAGCCUUUGCUUGUCCGGGGCCUAACUCUCGAUGAGAGAACAGUGCGUGGUGGGUAGUUUGACUGGGGUGGUCGCCUCCAAAAGAGUAACGGAGGCUUCUAAAGGUGCCCUCAAUACGGUUGGCAAUCGUGUGUAGAGUGCAAUGGCACAAGGGCGCUUGACUGAGAGACAUACAGGUCGAUCAGGUUGGAAACAAGAGCAUAGUGAUCCGGUGGUUCCGCAUGGAAGGGCCAUCGCUCAAAGGAUAAAAGGUACGCCGGGGAUAACAGGCUGAUGGUUUCUGAGAGUUCAUAUCGACGAGACCGUUUGGCACCUCGAUGUCGGCUUAUCACAUCCUGGAGCUGAAGAAGGUUCCAAGGGUUCGGCUGUUCGCCGAUUAAAGUGGUACAUGAGCUGGGUUCAGAACGUCGUGAGACAGUUCGGUCUCUAUCUACUGCGGGCGUUAGAAAUUUGAGUGGAUCUGACUCUAGUACGAGAGGACCGAGUUGGACUGACCGCUGGUGCACCAGUUGUUCCGCCAGGAGCAUCGCUGGGUAGCUAUGUCGGGAUUGGAUAAGCGCUGAAAGCAUAUAAGCGCGAAACCAGCCACAAGAUGAGAUUUCUUUAAAGGGCCGUGGGAGAUGACCACGUUGAUAGGCUAUAGGUAGAAGGGCAGUAAUGUCCGUAGCCGAGUAGUACUAAUUGCCCGUCAG